AGCAGCCGCGGUAAUUCCAGCUCCAAUAGCGUAUAUUAAAGUUGCUGCAGUUAAAAAGCUCGUAGUUGAAUUUCGGGACCAUCAUGUCGGUCGUGCCUCGGUACGUACUGGUAUUGUUGGUUUCUCCCUUCUGACGAACCAUGAUGUCAUUUAUUUGGUGUUGUGGGGAAUCAGGACUGUUACUUUGAAAAAAUUAGAGUGUUUAAAGCAGGCUCACGCUUGAAUACAUUAGCAUGGAAUAAUGAAAUAGGACGUUUGAUUCUAUUUUGUUGGUUUCUAGGAUCGACGUAAUGAUUAAUAGGGAUAGUUGGGGGCAUUAGUAUUCAAUUGUCAGAGGUGAAAUUCUUGGAUUUAUUGAAGACUAACUACUGCGAAAGCAUUUGCCAAGGAUGUUUUCAUUAAUCAAGAACGAAAGUUAGGGGAUCGAAGACGAUCAGAUACCGUCGUAGUCUUAACCAUAAACUAUGCCGACUAGGGAUCGGAGUAUGUAAGUUUUUAAUUUUAUACGUACACUACGUCG
rnacentral:rRNA from 1 species